UGUUUUUUUUUUUGUUGGUCUGUACAAGUGUCUAAAGACCUGAAACAUAUGACAACAUAAUACUUUGAUGUGCUAUAUAGGCACGAAGCUGCAGCCGAGCUAUGAGGGCUGUUGGUGUAGUGGAUGCUACAUGUGAAGCCAUUUUUGGUCUGGUGAUGAGCAUGGAUGUAACAAGAUAUGAGUAAGCAUAUGGCUUUCUAACUUCCUGUUUUCCCUCCUAGUAGCAUUGAUCUCUUAAUGUUUAUUUUCCAUUACAGGUGGGACUGUAGCUUUCGUCAUGGUAGUUUAGUUGAAGAGGUUGAUGGUCACACCGCCAUACUAUAUCAUAGGUUGCAGCUGCACUGGUGCCCAAUGUAAGUUCUCACAGAUCGACAAGUCCUUACCAUUUGCCUUUUCUUCUGAUUGUUGCCAAUGGAUCUUCGAUCCACAUUAACUAUGCAGGUUAGUUUGGCCUCGGGAUCUUUGUUAUGCUCGGUAUUGGCGCCGUAAUGAUGACGGAAGCUACGGUAAUUUUUUGAUUCUUCAUUUUUCCUAUUGCCUUUAAUGUCUGCAAUCCCUUCUGUUUGAUAGUGUGUGUACGAUGCAGUUGUGCUGUUCCGAUCCAUAGAACAUCCGAACUGUGGUCGGCAGCGAGGAUUCGUGAGGGCUUUCAUUGAAAGUAAUUUUCCAUUGGCACAUAUUAAACCUUCAUCUACCUUAGAGUAUGAGGCACUCCAAAUAUAAGAAGAACAAAAAUGUCAACUUCUGGUCCUCCGUUUCUUUUUCCUGAAUUUCUGCUAGUACAGGUGGGGGUUUCAAGAUUUCUCCCCUCAAGUGUCGCAACGGAAGACCCCGUACUCAGGUUCAACACCUUAUGCAGAUUGACCUGAAGGGAUGGUUCCUGAACUAUUCUCUCUCCUUUCAGUAUCAUUCCUUGCUGCAGAUACUAAACUGUGUUGCAGGUAUUGAAAAUACUGCUAUUUUUUAAUACCAACAACAGUGACCAAUCCAUCUUAAAAGGAAAAUUAGAAACUUAAUUUGUCAAAUUAACAACAUAAUGCUGUUUUACCACCGAUUCAUUUGUCUCUUAUGUUCUUCACCAACUUCCAGGAUUGCGCGAAUAUUUUUCCCAAACAGAUGAAAUCCAUAUAACCCCAAGGAUUCCUGUAAUGGAAACCAUGGUUGAUGCGGAUUCAGGGCCAAAAACUCACAAGUUUCAAGAUGCAGACUCCAAGACUAAACCAGUAGACCAAGGGCAAGCUGGUAAUAGAAGCAUGGGAAUGAUUGACGAAGAGUCGGAUGAGGAUGAUGAGUAUCAAGUUCCUGAAGCUGAUCUAGAGGUGUUUACUCUACUAGACCCCACUACAAGCAAACUUCUAUGAUUGCUUUACUUAGUACAAGUUGGGAUAAUUCAGUAUGUAACACUCAAUAGAGUGGCAAUUCACCCUGAAGCAAACCCUACAAGCUUACAAAUGUUUUCUAUCAUCAUACUAAACCUUGAUCAAAACCAAUGUACAGGAAGAUCCGAACAAAUCUGACAGUGAUGCUAAGCGCACAGGUAUGGUUCCCCAUGUUGCUCUACAUGCUUGUAUUGUCAUAUCUGCUAUGAAGUUCCCAGGACAGGUUUCGUUAUUGUUAAUUGCCAUAACUGUGACAGUGUAAUCAUUACUGCAGAUGAUCCUCCAGAAAAAAUUGAUUUAUCUUGCUUUUCCGGGAUUCUUCACCGUGAUGCUGAUGAGAAAAGCCGCAACUGUUGGACAGUACCCGAUAGCAAGAUCUUUAAAGUUCGUAGCAAGAACUUCCCACAGGACAAAUCAAAGGUCUAAAUCUUCCAGCUUUUGCUUUAUUGCUUUUGAUUGAAGCAUGCAUUCUAGAUGGUGUCCAGAACCGGGUUUCUUUUUCUAAAAAAAAGGAGAGAUAGCAUAAAGAACAUUAACACUCUGGUAUCAUCCAAGUCACAGAUACCUGCAGCGAGUUAUUUGAUGGAGCUCGCAGCCAUCGAUUGGUUUAAGGACACAAAGCGUAUGGAUAACGUUGCCAGGCAGAAAGGUUGUGUUGCUCAGGUAAGCAAUCCUUUUGAAUGUGAAAGAAAUUUGUGGUUUCUUGUCCACUAUUAGUUACACGGCCUCAUCGAAAUAGGUCCAAUAUAUACAAUGUGGAGUACUUUACUUUUGGCACUUUGUUAAUUAGGUUGCUGCUGAGAAAGGGAUGCAUACAUUUGUUGUAAACAUACAGGUAAAUUGUAGGGAAUAUAUAUCUCAUUUAUUAUUGAUGUAUUUGAAGCAAAUUUGGUGUGAAGUUUGAUACUGUCAUGUUGCACUGUAGAUUCCUGGAUCGACCCAGUACAGCUUGGUCAUGUAUUUUGUAGCGAGUUCCUUGAAGAAGGGAUCGUUGCUCCAGCGUUUCUUUGACGGCGAUGAUGAGUUCCGCAAUAGCAGACUGAAGCUUAUACCUUCCGUUCCCAAGGUCUGGUAGUAACUCUCGGUCCCAGAGAAUAUUUAUUCCCGGUGAUUCAUAUUUGAUAACAGGAUAAUAAUGAAAAUAAGUUGUUCAGGGCUCUUGGAUAGUGCGGCAGAGUGUCGGAAGCACCCCUUGUUUGUUGGGAAAAGCUGUAGAUUGUAGCUAUGUUCGCGGUCCUGGAUACCUGGAGGUAGUAAUUGGAACCUUUUCUUGUCUCAUUUUCAUCUACUCUAUAUUGAUGGUGUUUUUUUUAUCAGGUGGACGUUGACAUUGGAUCUUCGGCGGUAGCAAAUGGAGUUCUGGGCCUUGUCUUUGGUGUGGUCACAACAUUAGUAGUUGACAUGGCCUUCCUAAUACAGGUACUAGUUAGAAACUCUUUAAUUACUUACCUCUUUAAUUUCUUACCUGCUGAGCAAAGGAGUGAUGAUCUAUUGUAUAUUUAGGCCAACACGUACGAGGAGCUCCCGGAGCAGGUGAUCGGUGCAGCUCGGCUGGCACACGUGGAACCGGCCACGGCAGUGGUUCCUGACCUGGACAGCACAGCAGCUGAGAAUGACGACAGCGGCAACAACAACAAUGCUUCCUCGGAGGAGGAUUUGUCCAAGAAAACGAAUUGAUGUUCAAAUUUAUUGCCUUCGUAUCAAAUCUGGUUAUCAAGAUAGCAGAUUACUAGUGAUGGUGAUAGUGUGGUUGACCUGUAGUUACUGAAAUUAUUGUGCAGAAGAGAAGAUGAAGCCCAGAGUUUUGGUUUUGACAAUGGUAACUAGGAUAAUGUCCGUGCGUUGCUACGGGCGAAACAAAUCCUUUCCAUAAACGUUAAUUUUCAUUGUAUAAUUUUUUGUAACAUGUAUAAUAGAAGCAUUCACUUUGUUUUAAACAGAAGUACAAAUAAUUGUCAAAAAAUAGAAUGCCUACCUAGCUAUUUGAACACUUGGUAACAGAUUCUUUCCAUUGCCAGUUUCACGUAAUCUUUCUGUCGCACAACUAUCAUCCUACUUCCACCACCCAGAUGCUGGCAGAGCAAGCUCCAUGCUGGCGUGCUGCUAGCAGCUAGCGGCAACCUCCUUUGCUGCCACUUCCCGUCAUCGUCUCCAUCAGCACGACCACCAUCCCUCACACUGGCAACUGACCAUCCAUCCAACUAGUCAAUAAUGCAACAGUUCAAGGAAAAGAAAAUGAUGUCAAUAUAAAAUCACAGGUUAGGAUACAAGGUCUCAUCAUAUUACUAUAGACCUUCAUUAAAACCUAUCAAUGAACAAGUACAAUAUGCUACCGAUAUUGGUAAUUGGACGGCACAAAACAGAUUAUAUACUUAUUUUAGUUUUCAUACAAGACCUAGAACUUUUUUAUUUAUAAAAGGAAAUGGCAAUUCAUUUUCUUACCUACAUGAUCAAAUAAUAUCAAUGAUCAAAUAAUAUCAAUGGUUUCAAUAAAAUUAUGAUCUCACACCUAGCUACUUAUCAUGCUAAUUUAUAUUUCAGAGUGACUAAUUAAAUAUGACGCUAUGUUUCAACCUAAAUGUGAUGCUAUCUCUACCUAAGAAAGGACUGAUUUUUCAGGGCAAUAGUAAAAUGCAAUAACAAAAUGAGCUUAUUGUAUCUUCCACUUCCUUCACGAGUCAUAACCCAACGCCUCAUUUCCUUUUUUCUAUUUUGAACUGUAAAAACCCGGUGCUUAAACUGUGCAAGGUGCAAGUCACUAUCACAAGUUGCUAGGCAGACUACAACCUACAGAUCAGCACGUAUCUCCAACUACUGACGGCAAAGAACAGCAGGUGGUAAUAACUUGCAAGGCUGUACCAUGAGCUUUAAGUAAUAGCAACAUCAGCAGGCUGCUGUACGCAAUCGAAGCCUAACGUACUGCGAAAUUAAACUAACCUUCUGGAUCAGAGCCUUGGCUUUCUCAGCAUCUUCCUCCAUCACAUCGGUGACCGCCUUAAUCUUCGAGGCUUCGGCAGCCUCCUUGAGAUUUUCAUUGAUAGGGAAUGCGUCGGCAACCUCGCCAGUGACCCUCUCCAUCACCUCUGCCACCGUGUGGAUCACAACUAUUUCCAGAUGAGUUCUAAAAAUUAUUGAUCCAAUUUAUCAAAUGACUGCUAUGCCAAUAAAUGAAAUAACCAAGAUGUGGGUAACCCAGAGCAACUUGUAUUGGAUGGGCACUAUAUUAAGACAUAAUGACACAAAACAGGUUUUAUAACACCCAAAUGGAAAUAGAGGAUCAUAAGCAGUGGGAUCAGCUUUCCUUGAGCUAUUUGAGCAGAGCACUGGGAUUAGCUUCCCUGGCAUUACCUCCACCAGGACAAAUGUUUACCACCCAAUAUGCCAAGGAUAACCUAUCUGAUAGACUGAGUUAAACAACCAAACCUUUUUUACUUAGAGCCAGUACAAUAUGAAGCAAGUUAAAUUCAGUCCAAUUUCUUACUUCAGCUACGAGCAUUGACUGGAACAAGAUAAGCAGAGAAAUGACCAUCUUGCAAUACCUUUUCCACCAUAAGAUGAUUCAGACGUCAAAAUGAGAAUUUUUCGGAUAACAGAUUCAGAUUGUUCCUUCUUUCUAUCCUUGAAAAUCCAAAGGUGUGGGACCAAUCGAAUCAUAUCAGUGAUUGCGCAAAAAAUUCACGCUGCAGUUCUGAGACAAGUGGAAGGAAUUGGACACUGGAGUUUAGUGGUCAGAGUGCACUUACCGGCGUAACAUGAUAUACUGCCAACAGCAUAGCAUGCAGCCCUUCAGUUAUUUCGUGAAUACAGUACGGCUUCAUCAAAGAAAACACAUGCGUAGAACUCUAACCAGCAGGAGCUUUGCACCUCACAAAAAAAAAUGCAUACAAGUAGAUGAAUGGAUUUCUGGCAAUGUGAGAAAUCAAUCUUAAAAGACACGAGUGUGAAAAAAACAGUUAGAACAAAUGAGAUUGAGAACUCAUAGAGCCAUCAAGAUUUGAUAUCGCAUCCUCAAGCACCUCAUCAGAGGAAUAUGUGACAGGAUUAAAUCCCCUUGACCUCCCACUCUCCCUGUCAUAGAUGAACCUAGCUUCCAGGACCUCCCCUUGCUUGUUGAACAGGUUAGCAAGCGCUAAAUUGUUCACACUCCAUGAAAGGUUGCAAAUAUACCCCCUAUCGGCCUCACCCCUGGACCCUCCAGGUGAGGACUGCUCCCUGGAUAGUGGGUAGUGUUGACCCUGAAUGCACAGUCAAACUCAUCCUAUCAGGUACCUGAUUUCAGAGAUAGAGGUUAAGCUAAAUAACUAUGGGAACAAAUUUGAAAACAUGGUGCAAUAUAGCAUUUGAUUAAGCAAAGCAAACAGCUCAAUAGCUAACAUAUAUACUCGACUGCAGGCUAAAGUGUAAGAAUGAGCUCAGAAAAGAAGAGAGUUGCAGAAGCAGGUAGCAUAGCAAAGCAACCACUGGGCUUCCGGCCAGUCACAAAAUAGCCAGCAUAUUAUCCAAGAUCCAAUGUUAUAUGCUUUAUAUCAGAACCUAGAUAAAUACACUAGCUAGUAGUCCUGCAGUGUUGUAAUUAACCAUUGCUAGAGAAUAAGCAUGAAUGACUAAAAAACAAGGAGAAAAGUCAUACCUUUAUCAUCCCCUACAAUCGAAGCAAUAUCCUGAAGCUAAUCUUUUAAUGCAAGCAAUAUCCCAUCUGUCGAGCAAUUUCACAAUACUAACAGUCGACCAAUCUCAAUAAUGAAGUUUGAGUGUACCAAUCAAAGCUUAAAGAUUAUAUAAAUUAAACAGCCAAAAACAUCACCUCAUGCCAUGUUAGUUAAAACAACAGAAAAAUAACCUGCUAUGUGAGUGCCCAUAAGUUGCAUAUGUUAACUGAAGCAGAAGUAUUGAUAAUAUUCACAUGCCACUACCUAAAACUCCUAGAAUUGGACUGCAAGAAUCAGAUGACUCAGACUGCAACAUCAUCUCAUACUAUAUUCUAUCUAGGUCUGGUUUGAUAUAAUUACCAUUGGAAUCACUCAAAAAAACAAGUGACCAGCCAUCUGUCAAGCAAUUCCACAAUACCGAUAAUGGAGAACAGGAGAAUAAAUGAUGGACUAUGUUGCCAAUCAAGCAAAUCCACUAAUCAUUAUCCUCCUCUAUGCAAUCGAACCACCAGAUCCGCCUCAAUAAGGAUGCAUAAAAACGGAUUGUCAUGGAGAUGUGCAGAUGGGCGGAAGAGGUUACCGUUUUCGGUAAGCUCGACGACGUCGUAGGGGCGAGCUUGGCGGCAGCCCGGCCGGCACAGAAGUAGCCAGAGGCGUCCGUCUACCAGCACGCCAGCGUGGAGGGGAGGCCGGGGGUGGGAGGCGUGCUUGCCGCAGGGAAGGGGCAGCGCACGGCGGCGGCUUGGCGCAGGGGAGGGAAGAGGGGUGGCGGCGAGAUAGGGCGGCGGCGCGAUAUGGCGUAGGGUUUGGAACGGGGACGUGGGAGGUAGACAAGGGAAGAAAAAAAACGGAGCGGUAGAAAAACGGGGGAGGGGGGUCGGCAAACGACGUACGACGUUUUUACUCGAAUUUAUUUUUGUAGCUAUAUAGAUAUAGAUUUGUCGAUAGCUGGGUGUUUUCUUUUCUUUCGUGUCAGAUAUGUGAUUCUUCUUUCAAGAUGUGCCUGCUGACUACUGGUAGUUUCUGUAUGUCUUUAGGAGGCGUCUUGCUCUUCUUCCUUAGGAGGCGUCUUGCUUUUCUUCGAUCUAAUCCGCUGCUUUAUUACUUAGUUUUGGAUGAUUUGUGAGCGAUAAUGGAUUGAUUCUAGCUGAUUUGUCGACAAGCAAAGACAACAAACACCUUUCCCUCCUUUAAUUGGUUUUGCUUUGCCGCCUCUUCAAGGAAGGCAUUUCCUCCUCCUCCUUCUGGAUGCUUCCAUUCCAGUUCCACCAGUCAGUCAACGCCGAUCAAAGGGGUGGGCCCGGUCGGCCCCACGUGCCUGUGUCUCUUUCUCUCUCUUUGCUGGUUGGGUCUAGGUGGUUGCAUCUUCUUUACUGCUAAUUACUUUCUUUCAAUUGCUACAAAACAGGUAGCCCGAUCCGUCCGCCGCCAUCCUGAAACCCUAGAUACAUAGUAGAUAGAUAGCCGGCGGACACCAAAUCAAGCGAUCCCCUGCCCUGCUCUGCCCUUGUGCGUGAUUCAACGACUCCAGCAAGCAAUCAAUCGCGUUUGCAGCAGCCAGGUACGUGCGUAUGAUGAAUCGACCCAUCUCCACUCUUGUUGUGUUGUCGAUUCAUCGCUCAAUAGCCAUAGUUUUUCUUUAGGGAAAGAUAAUAAUCAGAUGCAUCCACCAACCUUGUUCUUCUAACUAGUGAAUUCUGUUUGUGGUUUUCAAUCCCAAUCUCCCAACCCUCCUAUUCUGCGCAUCGCUUGUGAUUUUAUUUAUUUAUAUACUCUACUAGGACAUUGGGUCUUUCUACCAGAGACUGACUUGUGCUAGUCUUAAUCUAAAAAAAUUUCAACUCACAACAGAUAUUAAAAAUUUCAAAUCUUUUUAACCUACUCUGCUCUGUUACUGCUCAUCCAAAUUUCAUCCCUGCUACAGGUACUCAAAAUGGCUUCGCCAUUCGGGACAUGUGGCCUCAACAAGCCAGCACCUGCUGCCUUUGCCACCAACAAGCACCUUUCCCCCCUCCCUUCGCCACCAGUUGUUUCCAUCCCACGGAAAAUGAAAAUGAGGCACCAGAGGAAGUGCCGUUUCACGGUGAAUGCAGCAAAGGAGAUCCACUUCAACAAGGACGGCUCCGCCAUCAGGAAACUUCAGGUCACUCAGUUGACUAACAUAAUCACACCUCUGCUGCUGCUAUUCAUCUCAUCACUUUUUUUCUUCUUCUUUUCAGCUGACACGGUUUUCUUUCUCAGAAUGGCGUCAAUAAGCUUGCAGAUCUCGUCGGGGUUACUCUUGGACCAAAAGGACGAAAUGUAGUCCUGGAGAGCAAGUAUGGCUCACCUAAAAUCGUCAAUGAUGGUGUCACUGUCGCAAAGGAGGUGUGCCUCUCUCACAUUACAGAUUUAUUACCAUCGUUUGUUCACUCUUCAACUUAUCAUGCCCACCAACUUUUUCGGCCAGGUUGAGCUGGAAGACCCUGUUGAAAAUAUUGGAGCUAAAUUGGUCCGCCAAGCUGCUGCUAAAACAAAUGAUUUGGCCGGUGAUGGGACAACCACUUCAGUCGUCCUUGCUCAAGGGAUGAUUACUGAGGGUGUAAAGGUACAUCAACUCAAAACCUCAUGUCUCGGUGCUUAUGUCAUACUAGCUGUUUUGCACACUCAUGAAAGCUAUAGUGAAAAAUGUCGCUACUUUCCCAGAUUGUAGCUGCUGGUGCUAAUCCAGUGCAGAUCACCCGUGGUAUUGAGAAAACAGCCAAAGCACUAGUCAAUGAACUCCAAAAGAUGUCCAAGGAGGUAAUUUCCUAUUAUCAUUGUAUUAUGUUCUGGAACUUAGUGCUGUUCUUUUUUUAUUUACCCCUGAUCAAUCACGUUACUACAAUUGAAUCACAUCUUGCAUCUAGAUACCUAAUGACCUUGCACACUGUACCAGCUACAAGCUACAGACCGGAUGGUUGGCUGACUGUGAUUACCAUACAUACAAUAUCUAUUGUUAUAUAAACCUUUUUCAAUGUGGACUUCAAGUCAAACAUGGCUUGCCCAUUGUAAAUUUAUGCAUUGGUCGAAUAUGUGCAUAAGCCAUAUCAAUGGACUUUGGUGCGAGGCGACCAUGAUUCACAGUAAAAUAUGCUGCGCCAGCACAUCUAGUUUGGUUUCCUUUCAGCUACAUGUUGUAUGCAUUGUAUAGCCCCCCCCCCCCCCCCAAACCCACCCACAGCACACACAAAAAAAAAACCUUCUCUCGGAGUAGUUAUUGCAUGGUGUAUGCGCACAAGUGCUACAAACUUAUUGUUUUGAUACUUUCUACAGUCAGUUAUAGUUGGGAGUGUAAAUUCCCGUCCAUGUCUUACUCAUUUCAACUGUCAAGAACAUUACCUGUUUGGAAUCUGAACAUGCCGGAUUCGCGUUUGAGGCUGCAGGUUGAGGAUAGUGAGCUUGCUGAUGUUGCUGCAGUAAGUGCUGGAAAUAACUACGAAAUUGGGAAUAUUAUAGCUGAGGCUAUGGCCAAGGUUGGACGGCAGGGGGUGGUCACCCUUGAAGAAGGGAAGAGUGCUGAAAAUAACCUCUAUGUUGUUGAGGGAAUGCAGUUUGACCGUGGUUAUAUUUCUCCCUACUUUGUGACUGACAGUGAAAAAAUGACAGUGGAGUACGAGAAUUGCAAGGUUUGAUGCCCAUGAACUCAACUGAUGAAAAUUGUGUAGUAACUAUUAUCUAGUAAUAGCAGUCUUCAUGACUUUGUUAGUCUUACGCUGAUUUUAAUUCUAUUACCAGCUGCUCCUUGUGGACAAGAAAAUUAACAAUGCAAGAGAUCUUAUCACUAUUCUGGAGGACGCUAUUAGAGGUGGAUAUCCAAUUCUAAUAGUCGCAGAGGAUAUUGAGCAGGAAGCUCUUGCAACCCUUGUGGUUAAUAGGCUUAGAGGUGCAUUGAAGAUUGCUGCUAUCAAGGCCCCUGGUUUUGGAGAGCGCAAGAGUCAAUACCUGGAUGACAUUGCUACUCUCACUGGAGGUAUAUUUUAUCUUCAGUUAUGAUCUGAUGUCUUUUUGUGCCUGCUUAUCAUUUACAUUGGCCAUCCUCCUUACAGGUACUGUCAUCAGAGAUGAAGUGGGUUUGUCCUUAGACAAGGCAGACAAAGAGGUCUUAGGAACGGCCGCCAAGGUUGUAGUAACUAAGGAUUCAACUACAAUAGUUGGAGAUGGUACUACACAGGAGGAAGUCAACAAAAGGGUGAUGCAAAUCAAGAACCAGAUUGAGGUUUGCAUUCUGGAAAAUUUAAAUUAUGUGUUGAUCUGCUAUUUGUCAAGCAUCUUUAUUUUCUCUUUUGUUGUGGUUCUGUUCUGUUUUUCAAGUUGCUGUUGGCAGCCCUGAUUCUCCCAGACAUAGUUGCAUUCACUUGCCUUGCAUUUCUACGGUAGUCACUUUUGAUUGGGUGGAAAUUCUUAAGUUUUUCCAAAACCAAUAUUUUCAGGCUACUGAUCAGGAAUAUGAGAAAGAAAAGCUCAACGAGAGGAUUGCUAAACUGUCCGGUGGUGUUGCUGUUAUUCAGGUAACCCUGAUAAUGAACUGUAGGUAGCAGUUGGAGCAGCAAUGGCACUAGGGUGCUUAGUGUAUUAGGAUGCUUAUUAACUAUCGUAAGAGAACCUUUACCAAAUGAUAUGUCUUGCUUUGUAGGUGGGAGCGCAGACAGAAACUGAGCUCAAGGAAAAGAAACUGAGGGUUGAAGAUGCCCUUAAUGCUACAAAGGUAAAUGCUAAUUCUUGUUGCUUAAAUCAAUUUUGUUUCCUUCUCCGUGUUGAUCACACCUUUACAUGAAAUCCUAUUUGUAAUCAGUACUUGUUAGUUGACAAUUUUUUUUAUGGCAGGCAGCAGUUGAGGAAGGUAUUGUUGUUGGUGGUGGCUGCACCCUUAUAAGGCUUGCAUCGAAAGUUGAUGCUAUUAUUGAAACCCUUGACAAUGAUGAACAGAAGGUAGGUCCCAAAAUUUAAUUGUUAUUCAUGUUACUUUCCGUUAAGGUGCUCUUUUGUAUACCAUACCAUCUAUGAUGAACCUUUUGUCCUUUUUCUUUCUUUCUUUUUUUCUUUCCAAGGUUGGAGCUGAAAUUGUAAGGAAGUCCUUGAGCUAUCCACUUAAAUUGAUUGCGAAGAAUGCGGGUGUUAAUGGCAGUGUGGUUAUCGAGAAGGUUUGCACUCAAAAUUUUGUCCUGUAUGACUUAACAGUUUGCAGCUUGUGUGUAAAGCAAGUUUAACAUGUCUGGCGUUCAGGUACUUGCCAAUAAGAACUUUAGGUAUGGUUAUAAUGCAGCUACAGGGAACUACGAGGAUUUGAUGGCUGCUGGUAUUAUUGAUCCCACCAAGGUAAUUUCCUAUUGCUUUCGUUGCAGCCACAAAUUCCUAUUUUCCUGUUAGCUCAUAUGGGAAAUUGGUUUUGCAUAAUCAGGUUGUGAGGUGUUGCUUGGAGCAUGCUGCCUCGGUUGCAAAAACUUUCAUCACUUCCGAUGCUGUUGUGGUUGACAUCCAGGUGCCCGAACAAGCACCUGCUGCAAAUCCAAUGGGUGGUGGUUCAGGUAAAUAUGGGGGACAAGAGGACAUUGUGGUGCUAACGGUUGGUUACCUAUUAAGUAGUCUGAAUCGACUUGAUAAUUUGCGUCGGUUUUGUGUUCAGGUUUUGGGUUCUAGAAAAAUUCUGGAGAUGAGCUUCCACUACCCUUCCUGCGGCAUGGCACGUUACUUUGGAGAAGGAAUUUCAUUUUGGUGUUAUUAUAGCGUUAAAGCGGCAGCAGAUCUGCUACGGGUGAUCUAUCGAUGUUUGAACAAUGAAUCUUGCGUGCAGUUGGUAGUUGGUAUGCGUCGCGUUAAUGAUACUAUGUUGAAAAAAGGGGACUUGAUGUAAUUGUUGCCAGAACAGAUGGUGGCUCUAGAGUCUUUUUGAGGACCUCGGUAUGUGGUGGUGACGAAUGCAGAAUUCAUUCGCCAAGCUGAUAAACUAUCAUCUGACUACUGAUGGAAGCAUAUGCAGUUUGUAUGGAAACACAUUUUUCUUCUGGCUGGGGAAAAUUAGUAAGUAAAUAAUAAUAAAUACAAUGCAGCAAUACCAACAACAUACACAAGCAACUAUGAUCGGAAUAAGCUGUAGCAGAAUCAAUUCAAUUCAAUUAAUUAGUAUACACCGUUAAUGAUGAUCCCUGUAUGUACCAGCUCAAAUCGUCUCAUUCCGCUCUGAUGAACGGAGAUGAGCUCAUCUCAGUGGUGCUGUAGAAUGAUUCCUCCUGGUAGUAGUUCUCGUCCUUCUCCUCUUCCCACUUGAGAACCUCCCGUAUGUACUUGAACGCUUCGUCCACUGUUUGACGAUCACGCGCCCGAGCCUGCCACACGAAAAGCUUCCUGUUCGUGUGCGCAAAGUACAUGUCCUUGAACUUCAUAGCGAUGUAGUAGUAUGCCUGGUGAGCCAGCGACUGGUUGUUGUGGUGCGUCCGAACUGGGCAGAAGUCAUUGAACCACUCACAGCUUGAGAGGGGGGCACGGUUGAUCUUCUCCUCGAAAAGGUCAUACUUGUUCAGAACCAGAACAAAUGGGGUGUCACAAAAGCACGGUUGCCUGCUCAAACAGAAAUUCAAAUAUUACAAUUCAUAACUCUGCUGACCUGACAAGAUAUCAAACAUCUGCUUCCCACAGGAUAGUGGGCAAUUACUAUUUCUAUCCAUAUUUGUUUAUUCUGUCCUAGAAAAGGGCAAAAAAAAAAUUCAGAUGGAAAAGACUAGCAUACCGAAUUGUAGCCUCGAAUAACUCUUUGCUUUGCAUCAUCUUGUUCACAAGAGGCCGACCGCUGCCAUUUACAGGGGGACCCAAUUGGUCAUAAUCACUGAGUGCUAUGCAGAAUAUCACCAUGCGGACAUCUUCAAACAUUUCCACCCAUUUGCAGCCAUCAUUCAUGCCCUUUGCACUAACUCUGAUUAGCUGAUAUCUGAUGAAGAAAAAGAAUACAUGAUUUAGGCAUUUGGCACAUGAUUCAAAUGCUCUUCUUCACACCAGCAAGAAUGAAGUUAAGAGAUUACUUAGUCAGAGGCUGGGAAUGUGCCUCAGGGUUGUCAAUAUAAGGUUCAGACAUAGGGCUGCGAUCAUCAAGCGUGAACUCAAUGAAGGCCAGUCCAUUUCCUUGUGUUACUCCUUCAGCAAAGAUAACAUCUUUCUCGGAAGGUUCAUACUCAUUGCUUGAUACCUCAAUGGCCUGCAACAGUAUGCCAAGAAUAGUCCAAAAAGUCAUUCAAAAUUUUGAAAAAAAAGGGAUUCAGCUCUGCACAAUAAAAACUAGGUUGAUCAAGGCUAGAGAUAUAUUAAUUUAAAAAAAUCAAGGUUUAUACCCUGCUCAAGAAGUGCUCAGCCACAUCAGGGAGAAAAUGCAGCUCUUCCUUUCUUUUGAAUGUUGCUUGUAUGGCGGGAUCCUUCCACAUCUCGUCAACAAACGGAGCAUAUUCACGUGUUGCGGCAGGGAAGAAUGCAUCUAGAUCACCCAUUGCUAUGAUAUCCAAAAGCCAAUCUGAGAAUUUCUUCAGCCUUGCAUUUAUGGAGUAUACACAAGAAUUUGAACCGUUGGCUUUGCUGUCAUCUGCAUCCAGAAAAAAAAAACUCAGUAAUAUUGUGUCCACAUCUGGUUAAAAAAAGCAAAGAUCAAAUGACUUGACCAUAUUACCAUGCUGAGUCUCAUCACCCUCUGAAGUUGUGCAAUUCAAUCUAGACAAAGCCUCUUCCUCGAAGCGCUCGCGGCCCUCUAGCAAAAUCCCAAGAUACUUGAACAUAUUGCUUUGGAUCAUUAGUUUGAUACCUUCAAGCUCUUCUUGGGUGAACCUAGUCCCGUACAAGUACUUAGCCUAAGACACAUUAAAAGAAGAUCAGCAUGAAACAAACAAGAACAAAUGCAGGAUACAAAGUUUGAAGACCACGACUCCGCAAAAAAAAAAAAAGUUUGAAGACCACGGAUGUGAAGUUUUCUGCUUAAAGGAUUUAUACUUAUGAUUAUGUGAAAGUGCUAGCGCAAUCUCUCAUGCAGGGCCAGUUACAGAGAGUUACAUGGCAACAAUUGUGAUAGAGCCAAAGGCAUCAAGAAAUGGAAUCAGAUCAUACCUGCUUAAAAAUAGUGCUUGUACCAGCACCAGGCGGUCCAAGAAGAAGAAGUUUUUGGAUCCUUUUUUGGUCCAAAUAAUCAGGGACAGUUCUUGCUGAAUAGGGAACUUCAUCUCUGGUUCCAUUUGAAUUCCCAGGAGGCACCGGCAGUGAAAACAAUGCACAUGCAAAACGCGUCAGAGCCUGGCCAUGGUAGGAAAAGAAAGAUCAUCAGCAAUAAGCAUACCCGACUUAAGCUUUCUAAGCAAUAACAGUGUUACACAUUCCUUUUAACCAAGAUACAUACAGACUCCCAUAUUUUCCCUUUGAUAUUGUUUUGUCCUUCCUCCUCAUAACGACCAUCAUCAUAGACCCAAAAAUGAGUAUCACGGGGACACUGAACAUUUGCAACCUGCAAGCACAGUGCAAGUGAUGAGACAAAUGAAUAAUCUCUUUUACAGUGCACCCUUGUGUCUUUGUAGGUAUAAGGACUCUUGGAUCUUGUCUGUGAACUGAAGGUCUCAGUUUCAAGCUAAAAGACAGAAACAUGACGUACUAGGCUGCUGGCUACAAUAUGCUAAUCCUGAAUGCAAAAGGGAACUUCUGUUUGAUGAAUUAAUAUCUUGAUACCCAGAACGGCAAAACUGUUGCAUUUAGGAAAGUUUCCUAAUGUGCAGGAAACUGGAAAACCCAAAAAAAAAAGGACAACAGUUUUAAGUCAUUAUUAUGCAUAUAUCAAAUUCCAUAAUGAUCCGCUUACACCAGAAGUCUUAACGAUCAACAUAUAAAAUUGGACGAAUCUGAUUCUUUUUAAUUCGCAGUGGUCACUAUUCAAAGAGUGGAGCACAUAAUUUGAGUAUUUAAAAAAGGCAGAAAAAACAUAUUUCAAGUCAACUAAUGUACUGGAACUCAAAUUAACAGGAUGAAUAGGUGAGAAAGUUUUUGCUAGAAACGACAACAUGGCUCACAUCACACGGUGCUAUAAUUCACUAAAGUAUAAAACUAACAUUGAUUAUAUAUUGGAUAAGAUAUCAUUAUUUGGCUUAAAUGGUUUAGGAUGACCUAUUAUUAACAGUCAUUAAUAGAUGGGCAGUUAAAACAAUAAUGAGAACUUAGUAGGACAAAGGAACACUUAUAGUUGGUGAAAUUCAAACAGACUACAUGCAAAUGCAAUGAUAAAUUGAUAACUUCGGACCAAAAAUAGAAAGUAAAUGUAGUUGCCAGGUAUUGUCCAAUUGCUAAAAAAAAGAAUACCCCUUAUGAAUGAGGUUAGGCCAAAGGGACUCAACAGCUAGCCUCCCUCACGAUAACCACCAGGAACCAUAGAAAAGCAGCUCUAGAAGAGUAAAGCCUGCUUGGCCAAAAGCAAUAUAGGAUUCUAUUUUGUAAAAGCAAAAUAAUUGGCAAGACGGUUACCUUCAGAAUUUUCAGCUCAAUCUUUGUUAUCUCCCUCCCAUUAAUAAAAACCUGGGUGUUGCCAUUACUAGCAUUGGCUUGAAGCUUCCCAGUAAAAUUGAGGUUAGAGCUAAUAAUCCUGUCUGGUUUUUCUCCUUCCUAUCAGAAAAAGGCAGUUUCAUUAGCAGAAACCAAGAUAAAUUUAUCCACAAGUUUUUUUUUAGGAAACAGGAAUACACAAGCUUUGUUCUUAAUAGAUUUACCUUUCCCCAUAAGCCUGACUCCUUGUCAUACCAAUACUUUCCGGGCUUUAGCUUCUGAGGAGGCCGAGAGCAACUUAGCAGGUCUGUCAGCUCUUCUGGCCUCAAUGGGCAACCGUUCACAAUAAGCUGCUCAGGCCGCAGCUGAUUUGCUUGGCACUCCUUCUCAGCUUUCAAGAUUUGCCUUACUUCCAACGGGCUGAGCAACCGCGAAAGUGUCCUGGAGUUCUUCCCUAGCUUCGCCCUCUUGGACUCAUCGAUUGGCUGGCCGAUGCAGGUGACGCACUUGCGGCCUUCUGGCAUCGAUCCCAUCAUCCUAAGCACACAAUAGCUGCAGUACCUUGCGUCGCAAACAAUGCACGACUCCUUGCUCUCCCAUUUCCUCUUCCCACAGCGAUAGCAUGCCCUUCUCCUCUUCUCCUUCUUUGUGACGGCCACGUACUGCUCAGACAUCUCCUCAAACUCCUUGCUCUCGUAUUUGCUGUUGGGCGAGAAGCCAAAGGUGACCACGGGCGCUCUCCUGCCCUCCUGCAUCUCAGGCCUAUUCUGCGGCCCCGGUGAGCUCUGCGCUGAACCGUGCGACUGUGUGCGGGAGUCGUCGUCGUCGUCGUCGAACUCCUCAUUGUGCAGGACUGACUCAGAGCUGCCACCAACCUGCAUGGACACCGGAUCUGCACAGCGGGCGAUCCUGGAGACAGGGAGGCGGAUGGGCUCAACGACGGGCGCCACGGGGAGCCCUCCAGGCACCUGGGGGCCGGACACUGGCUCCGCCGUGGGGAUUGCAGGGAUCUCGACGGGGUCUACCCUGGGAAGGUCGUAUGGCACCGGCGGGCCGUCGUACUCGAGGGCGAUGGAGUAGUCGAGGUUGGGCGGCGCCUCAGGGAUGGGAGUGCCCGGGGGGAGGAUCCUCCUCAUCAUGUCCUCCCAGGUGCUUCCAUCCAUGGCCUCCGCCAUCUCCGUGCUUGCCUUCCUCUACCUGCCCUGGCUGCUUGUCAACCACCUUCCUUCUACGUCGCCAUCGCCCACAGAGCUGACUGGUGGAGAUGAAGCCUGCCCUUUUCAACUCCACCCACGAAGUUGACUCCUUCCUUAUUCUGUAGCACCGAAAUGGAACGAACCAACUCCAAUUGAAGGGAAUCCUGUCAACAACCAACUACACUAGGCAGGCAGUAGCGGCGGGUGCUUGGAUCGAAUUCCGCCCCGAACCGAGCGCUGAAAGCAGAGAUCUUUUACCGCGAGGAACCGUGGCUCGCUCCAAUCCGCACGAGAUGGAAUCAAAGUCCAAUCUUUUCACCACCACCAAACUGAGCUUUCUCGAAGGAAGGAGAUCUCGGCCACCUCUUCUGGAAAUUGGAUCAGACUGGUCAGGAAGAGAGAACGAAUCGAAUCCUGGACAGGCAGGUAGCACUAGGAUGUGGUUGCAGAGCGGAGGAAGGAAAGCCGAAAGAAAAGAAAAAAAAAAGUGCUGCAAGGGCGCCGCAGCCGCACGGCGAGGGAGGGGAGGGGCUGACCUGUGCUGCUUUUUUGGACUGAGAAGGAAAGCGACGGCAGGAAACCAAACGAGGAAGACGAUCCAUCCAGCCGAUAACACCCAGCCAGUAUUAAGAGUGCUCAAUCCGAAUGGCUAUUUUCUCACUUUUUGCCUCCUUUCCAUUUUGUUCGACUCAUUAUUACCUCACUCUAUUCACUCUAUUCAUGAGGAGCGUGGUUCUUAUUAGAUCUAGUAAUUAUUUUCACUCAAUCACCAGUAGUACUCAUAACAAUUAAGUAUUUUGUUGGAUGUUAAUAAAGCCAAUCUCAAUAGUUGAUUUCGUGGGAGUUUCAUAAGCAUUAAAUUCUGUAACACAUCAAUAAUUUUAUUGAUCUGACACAGUCAUUAUAAGGAGAGAGAAUGUGGAGUUUUAUGAGAGAGGAGUUUCAUCUCAUGAAAUCAUUAGAUUCGGUUACCAGGUUCUGGUAACAGUGCAAUAAAACUAUGCACUAAGUGUCGGUGUUAAGAUCCGACAAGCUAUCGAAGGAGGUGUCCGAGGUAGUGUUUUGGUUAGUAGGGCUCAUUGAGAUCAGAAACUCGAAGAUAAACGCAGACACAUGAUUUAGACAGGUUCAGACCGGUAAUACCCUACGUCCUGUGUGUUGGUUGGAUUGAAUUGUUUUAGAGGGGUCCCUGCCUCUCCUUAUAUUGUCGGGGGCAGAGCUACAGGUCGGUUGGUUACAAGAAUACUAGUCGGAUUCGACUAGACGAGUUCUACUCUUAUUGCUACAAGUAGUUUUCCUAAUCAUCGACUAGUUCAUGUCUUGCCACGUAGACUACGUCGUCCUACACCAUAAUCUCUAUGUCAGAUACGACUCGAUGUACAGCCCUAUAUUUAGGACUGUCCAAACCUUACAACAAGCCCUCGAGUACUUUUUAGUUAAAUGUAGCAGUUCCGAGUACUUUUGCAGACUUCACUCACUAAUUCUUGGUACUCUUCAUCAGGUUGAAUCUUCAAAGGGAUCCAAAAACUGCCAUGCGGCUAGAACAUGCUCAAUCCUCAUUUAACUCAUUCUGGUAUCUUCAACCUUGAAUUUUAUAUGAAAGUGUGACGAAAGUCGCACUCCAUAUGGAGUAGUCUCCAAGCCUUAGGUUGAAUCGAAGAAUUGCAUCACUUUUCCCUUAAAAAUCUAGAGAAAAAACUUUUUAUCGAUGGGCACAUGGCACAUAGUCCCUGAGCCUUUAUCCGACUAAUUUGGUGGGUAUAAGGGUCAAUCUCUUGUUAACGUGACCAUCUCUAAAUGAAAAUUUUAUCUCUUAAAAAAAUAGAGGUAACUGCUAAUCAGGUACUCGAAAUCUGGAGGAUCCGUUAAACCAAAAUCCUUGUAUUCACGCUGCUGUUACCACGCCGCGGUUAUAAAUAACGGAAGAAAUAAUCCCUUCCAUUUUACCUUUGCCAUCUGCUUUUCCAACUUCUAUAAGGUAGCCCUAGCGUCGCUGCUGCCCGAUCUCCGAGCGCUAGUGCCGUCGUCCCCCACCACUCAGCCCCCGAGCGUGUGCGAUAAAGAAGCUCGUGACAUUUAGGAUGGGGAGGAAAGCUGUUGUUGUCAAGCCUGCCAUGGAGGGAGAGAAGAAAAGGUCUGAUAAGAAGAAGGAGCCGCGGUUGCCGGCGCCUAAGUAUGGGAAGACGGACCAGACUACGCCGCCAACUCCUGCCUGCGCUUGGAAGCAGUCAUCUUUGAAAGAAGAGGAGAUCAAGACACUUGUGGCCAUCUGCUCCAAGAUCAAAACUUCAUCAAUUGGAGAUUCGCCAACCCGCACCUCAGUCAACCAGCUUGGAACCUCCAACUAAGAAAAACAAAAAGGAGAAAGUGCAUCUGGUUUUGAAACAUCAGUAAGGUCUCUAUUUUCAUCUAGAUUACUGUAUCUGAUUCUUAGUGCUGCCUUUUUUUUCCUCAAUUACUAUAUCUGAUUCUUAGUGCCAACUACAUUCAUACAUGCAGGUCAGCAACUGGCUCUAACCAAAUCCCAUUUCAAAUGGUUCUCAUGUGUCAAGUGAGCAAAUAAUUGUUGCUCCAUCUGUUGAAAAAAGGUGAGAGGCAAGAAACAGGUUGGGAUGAAGGGAAGGGUAGCAAAAGAUAAUGCAAAGAAGCUUGUGCUUCCAAUUGAUAGCCCUGCAAUAGGCACAAGAAGCAAGAAGAACAAUCCUGCAAGCCCUGCAAUGGGCACUUGCAGGAAGAGGAGACUUAGUCUUUGAAGUUGAUGUGAUCUCACUUUGAUCAAGUGAUCUGUUGCUUUUGUAACAAUAUGAUGUGUGAUGGAUGCUCUCACGUGAACUUGUGGUAACAUAUGAGAACCUCUGUAAGGGUUGGUGAUUUUAUGUUGGCUUAGAUGUGCCAGAACUUAUGCUAGAAUUUGUGAACUUGAACUUGUGAAGUAUGCUGUCAACUAUUUAUGCUCAAUGUUGAUUUUACAACCUGUGAACCUGUGGAGUGUGCUUCAACAUGUCACCUUGUGAAUAUUUAAUAUAUGUGGUUAAUAUUGCCUUUAAUCCAUCGUAAACAUGUUUGGGUGUCUUAUAUAAUGCAACUCAAUGUUGGUUGCGUACAGAAUGUCAUAGGAGGGAAUUAUACCUUGUGUUAAUGCACACAUAGAUAUUUUGGUCUUUUCCUCGUCAAAUUUAACGGUGUCACUGGUGAAUCUGAUUCACCAGUAGAUCAUAGAAGGUACGAAACUUAGAGCCGGUGUCAUGUAAAGAAGAUUGAAAUUUCGAAUGUCACACAGGAAUUGGUUUAUCUUCCGGUGUCAUCCUAACCAUCGGGCCUAACUGGGCCGAGAUUAAACGAAGAUCAGUGUCUGUUUAGAUUUGCUUACCAAGAAGGUCGUUGUAGUAUAGUGGUGAGUAUUCCCGCCUGUCACGCGGGCGACCCGGGUUCGAUCCCCGGCAACGGCGAAUUUUUUUUAUGUACAUGGGCCGGUCAUGGUCCACGUCCUCGCUGGGCCUGGGCGUCCGUCCGCUUGGGCUGACACCCAGCGGCCCAAGGUCCAAGCGAAACCGACCUCUUCCUCAUUUUACUUCCUUUUUUUAUUUUUGCUAUUUCCUUUAUUAUUAUUAUUAUUAUUAUUAUUAUUUAUAGUAGAAAUCAGGAAGAGCUCCCUCCCAUCCCGGCCCCGGCGGCGCUCCUCUCCCCCGCCGCCGCCUCGCUCAGCUCCUAAACCCCUCUUAAACCGCCCGGCCGCCGCCGCCGCCGCCAUGACGGUUCCCCCCCCAGGCGACGAUGCGGCCAAAAAGGACAAGGAUGUGCCUCCACCGUCCUACCGCUCGCUGGCCGCGCCGGUCGCCAACCCCGUCGACAAGUUCGCGCUCCUCCCCGCAUUCCUCAAGGUCCGAGGGCUCGUCAAGGAGCACAUCGACUCCUUCAACUACUUCAUCACCAGGGGAAUCAGGAACAUCAUCCAGGCAAACAAUCGGAUUGAGGCCCGCAAUGACCCAAACAUCUACCUUAGGUACACAAACGUCCAUGUUGGCACGCCCUCAGUUCAAGUUGAUUACAAAGUCGAAGAAAUCACGCCGCACUUUUGCCGCCUUACUGACCGCACGUAAGCCUCCCCCAUCUCCAUCCAUCCAUCUCUUGCACUUUCUACAGAUAGAUUUUAACAUUUUUCAUCUCUUCAUUCAGUUAUUCUGCUCCUAUAAAAGUUGAUAUCGAAUAUACCGUCGGGAAGCAGCAUGAGCUGCAGUUUAAGGUAAUCCCAUUACUCUGAUCCAAGUACCUUUUUGCACACUUGAUGGGAAAAACAAAAGAAAACCAACAACUACUACUCACCUUAUCUACUUACUUACUCAUCAGAGGAACGUUCUCAUUGGCUACAUGCCCAUUAUGCUUAGAAGUUAUGCAUGUAUUCUGCAUGGAAAGGAUGAAGCUGAACUAGCAAGACUCGGUUGGUCUAUUUCUCGAAUUCUUCAUCAUACAAAGCAUCUUCAUAUCUUACUGAUUGUUCUCAUGGUUUCACCACCAUGAUCCUAGGUGAAUGCCCUCUUGAUCCUGGUGGCUACUUCAUAGUCAAAGGAACUGAGAAGGUAACAGCACUAAUUUAGUUACAUGGCUAACUGUAACUUCUUCUGGUUUUGUCGUGCAAGUUUCUAAUGCUUGCUUUGUGCGUUAACAAUCUUGCAAUAUUUGUUCAUUUUCAGGUCAUUCUAAUACAAGAACAGCUAUCGAAGAAUCGUAUUAUUAUAGACACCGAUAGUAAAGGAAGGUCAUACUCAUUACGGACCUAUUUAUUCAUAAACUUAUUGUCAUGUAAUGUGUCAGCGUCUUUCUAAGCAGCUUUCCAACUCUUAACCGCAGUUCGAUUCAGAUUAGUUUAGAAGUUGCUAGGAAACUCAAAUUCCAACCAUCAUGGUCAACAUGGGGCAUUGAGCUCCAUUGGUCACUCAUUGCUGAAAUAACUUCUUCCUGUGUGAUCUUGCACAUGGCAUUUCAUUCCUAGCUCCUUUGGUCCUAUAGCUUUAGCACCCCUUGUGAAGUGGGAUAAUAUUCAACAUCUUACGGUAGCACCUGUAUUUUCUGUCAAUUAGGGUGAUUGCAUCUGUUACCAGCAGCACACAUGAAAUUAAAAGCAAGACGGUGAUUACUUUGGAUAAGGAGAAGAUCUAUCUACAGCUGAAUCAAUUCACGAAACCGGUAUGCAUUACAAAUCCAGUUAGCUUGUUAAGUACUCCUUCCAUUUCAGUACAUUUGGGACCCUACCAUUUUUUUUAAAAAAUCUUGAGACAGGGAACACAUCAAAACCAAAUGUUUACUUAAUGAGGUUUUCUGCACUUGUAUAUCAUUCCUUUUCUAUUACUUUGUGUAAUAAAUUAAUUUCGUGGUACUGGGUGUGAUUGUUGGUGUAGUUCAUUAGUACAGUAGAUUCAGGAUGUUUUGUGUAUGUCAUUGUUCUUUUGGAAGUACCGAAGGAAAUAAUUUUUUAAGAAGUAAAAGCUCCUGAUUCAUUGAAAUAGCCUGGCAUCUUCUUUGUUUGCCUAGUUACUUUACUCUGGCAUGAUUGAACCUAAUUAUCUUCUAAGAUCAAACUAGCAAAUCCUAUCUACUUAGAAGUGUUUCUGAGAGCCUUACUUUUGAAUUUUGUAACAGCUAACUAUGCUAACUCUAAUUACAUGCUUAUACCUACUGAGAGAAAUUUAAGUUGGAAAGUAACAUCAAUGUGUCACUGCCAAGUGAUCACAGUUGUCAGUUUUUAGUCUCAAGUGGAUUUUAUUUUCCCAACUUACUCAGGUUCGUAAUGCACUGAGGUAAUCUUGCAACAUUUAAAUUAAUAGUUUUCUUGUUUAACAGGAGCACCAUGAUCUAAAUUUCCUUCCUUUUCCUUAAUUCCACACCUGGCACAUUGAACGCUCACUAGAUUGUUGGGUCCUAUAUUAUGACAUGGAAGGAGUAAGUUGGCAAUUCAUACCUUUGUUUCCGACUCCUGAGCUUUAAAAUUUACAGAUUCCAAUAAUAGUGGUCAUGAAAGCUAUGGGAAUGGAAAGUGAUCAAGAGGUUGUACAGAUGGUUGGAAGAGAUCCAAGAUAUGGAGACCUCCUAUUCCCAUCUAUUCAGGUACUUUUUCUUAACGAUAAAAUGGACAUCCUCUUGGUAACUUUAUAAUUGGAUCUUGAAUUUGUGCUAUGUUUCAAAUAUUUGUUUCGCACCCUUUUUUCUUGUCAUUCUCCAUAUAUUUUGUAUUUUAUACUAUUUACAUGUUUUUCUGCUUUCUCAGGAAUGUGCCUCAGAGAGAAUAUAUACGCAACAGCAAGCCCUGCAGUACAUGGAUGAGAAGGUAAGAUUUUCAAACUAAAAAAAAAUUUAAUACCAUCACUCAAUUAAACCAUAUAUUGUGUUUUUAAUUAUGCCGAAUGGAUCACAAUGCACUAAAUGUUGCACAAUGAGCAUUCUAAGUUUUGCUAGAGUAGAUCCCUUUGUUACCGAGUUAUGUAUUCUGUCUUCAGAAGCAUUCGCUUGUAGAUUCUUUUACUACAUUUGCAAUGGCAGCCUCUGGUUCUACUACUCUGGAGGGGCUUUAUGUUCUAUGGAGGUCACACCGAUUAUAUCAGCUUCUGCCCCUCCCUUCCUUACCCCUUCUCUCAAUCUCUCUCUACCCCCGCCCUGUGGGUUGGAUAAGGUGGGGGAUCCAGGGUGUGCAUUCUUAGGCUUCAUUUUCACUCCAGGGUUACUAGGAUCUACAUUAUUGAUUAUUUUGUUUUCGUCGUAGCUGAGGGAAAUGUUCUUUUGAUUAAGUUUACUUGUCAUACUUUUCCGUAUAUGUUUUAUGAAUCUUUCAAAUACAAAACUAGGCGAAGAUGGUAGGCUGCAACUGAAGGUUGAAGUGCUUGUGGAAGCAUUAACAAUAGUGGUUGAAAGUAAUAUGAAAUAUCAAAACCAGUAAAAUACUGAACCAGGAGAGGAACCUUUUAACUAGUGAACUUGAGAUUUUCUUGUAUUCAAGGAUGCGAUGAGAAAUUUUUAGGUAAAAGUCGUGCAAAGAAAAUUUUUCCAUACGGCCAGAAUUUAAGUACUUCAGUGUUGACACCAUUUUAGAAACUAGAGUAGUAGAUUCUCAAAUUUCUACAUAGCGGCUUGCAACAAUUAGCCCAAAAGAGUUAUCUUUUAGAGAUUUGCAGUCAUGCCCUCUUACUUUUUCACUGACAUGAUGUAACCCAACUCUAAAUUUUCUGUUGUAAUCACGUCUAUGUAUCAAGUGUGGCAUCUUUGCUAGUCAUGAUCCUGUUUUUUUUUUCAGGUCACAUAUCCUGGUGCAGGAAACCAGAAGGUAACUAAUUGUAGCUCAAUCAUUUUCAUUUCAUUUAAGAACUUUUGGCUAUCAAAUAUGUGCGAACUACAAAAUUCCAUGUAUGUAUAUUCUAAAAAUUUAUCAGAGUAGGAACAAAUGGCAAGCUGUGAACUUGUUUCUCAUUAUAUAUUAAGUUUCUACGGCGCACAUGUUCCAAAAUAUGCGUUCAGAACGGCGCAAUCUUCUGGCGUCUGACAUGCUUUUUUUUUGUCACUUUCAGGAGGGUCGAUCGAAAUCAAUCCUACGUGAUGUGUUUAUUGCACAUGUGCCGGUGAGAGAAUUGUUUUUACCUAACUUUUGCUUGCAAUCUACUGUUCUUAUAUUCAUGUCAAUAUCUCCUAUAGGUCAAGAACGGGAACUUCCGACAAAAAUGUAUAUACACUGGCGUAAUGUUAAGGCGCAUGAUGGACGCAAUCUUGAAUGCUAACACCUUUGAUGAUAAGGCAAGUUAUCCGCAACUAUAGCUACAUGCUGUGUCUCUAUCAUCCACAACCUGGGGCAAGGAUGACAAUCUACUGAUAAUCAAGAAAUCUAACAUGCUCCUUUUAAUUUGGAGAACCAAACAUGUUCCAUCUGUACUGAAAUAUAAUUGGCUGCAUGUAGUGUCUGCCAAGCUGUGCAGAGUCUAGCACAGCUCUGGUCAUCAUGAGUCAUGACCCUGCAUGGCGACUAGGACAACACAGUUCAUGUCUACUCUGUUUUGACCUUUGUGUCUUGAUCCUUUGCCAGCUUAUGCAAAACCCACUCCUUUUUUUUGUUUUUUUUCUUUCCUUUGAUGUCUCAGAUAAUUUUUGUAAAAUAUUUGUAUAUUCCAUUUGGUUGUAGUCAAUUAGAAUUCCUUGUCAGUACUAGAAUGAAGAAAAUAAUAAUAUUCCUCAAUUUGGGUAAUGUAAUGUGAUGGGGUCUAUUUUAUGAUAUAUGUAGUCCAAGCGAUUAGAUGUUCAUGGAAUGAAAUACAUUAGAAGUUAGUAGUGGGAUUGCUGUUUAUAUGAAACUUCUCUUCUUGAACAAGAGUUUUUAACAGCAAGAAAUUCUCCUAGAGUUUUGCUUGAACAAAGAUGAAAUGUUUUCUACUUACAAAUUUAUUAGGAUCACAUGUUUACCACCCUAUUGACAUCUUCUAUUGAACAUAUUUCAGGAUUAUGUAGGGAAUAAGAGGCUGGAGCUGUCUGGUCAACUAAUAUCCCUGCUUUUUGAGGUAUUUUUUUCUCUCAUAUUAUUUUAGUAAACAUCAUAUUAGUACCUCUUAUUCUGUUUAUUGUUUGAAGGAUUUGUUCAAAACAAUGAAUUCCCAAGCUGUAGAGCUCAUGAACAAAAAUAGCGACAAGACUCGUUCUAGUCCUUCAGAUUUCAGCCAGGUAAUCUCGAUAUUCAUUUGAUAACCCACAAUUGAAGGCUCACCUUAAUAGCGCUUUUGAGUGCCUUUUCUGUGUUAUAUUCAGUUUUAUAUGAUAGUUGUUGUUCGCUUAUGUUACCUAGGUGAGCAGACUUGCAUGAAAAAAAGAAGUAUCUUUGCUGCAUCUACUCCGCAGCAUGGAACAGAGCUUAAUCAGCUUCAUCACUUAGUGCUCCUUUCCCAAAUCUUAGAACCUAAAUAAUCUUCUUGACCGUUUAAAAACAACAACUUGGCUGUUCGUGAAAUGCAGUCUUCAUUCGGUUAGUUAUGGGAACUUGAUAAGGGAGGUACUGAGGGUGGCUACAAUUUUUUGGCUGCACAUUUAUCCAUCUUGCUCUGCAUAUAAUACUGUUGAGAGAUGUUACCAUGCUUGAGAGUUCCAAUAUAUGUUGGUUGUUCAAAUCCAAUGGUCAGAAAGUAGAAGACACCUACUAAAAGGUACUUAAAGCUGUGGCUGUGAACUGUUACUGUAAAAUGGAUUAAGUGCCAAUUUGAAUAUUAAAUCGAACGGUAGAAAGAUAGUUUUAUUCUAUCAUCAAAUUAGAGAGGAGGGUAAUUACUACUAGCAGAUCUGUAAUCAAACUUUAUCCUUUUUUGAGUUCAAUACUUGGAACCAUCAGAUUUCUCUUGACUCACCACUAGUGUGGCCUUAGUAUGCAAACAGGGAACUUAGUUUUGAGUGUACUAGGGACAGGGAGUCAGCAACAAAGGCUGCAGUGGGAGUUAGGAGGAGGGUUGUCGGUGAAGGGAGGCGGUGUAGGACGCAAUUGCCAUUCGCUAGUUGGUAUUUUGAGAGGCAUCAUUGGAGGGAUGGAAUCUGAGAUGGCCGUUUCUUACACGAUAGGAGGACAGUUAACUCAAAGAACAAUUAUAAAACUGCCCACAUUUACCAAAUUCAUGUUCUUAAAUUGGCAUUAUAAGAUCAAUGGUCCAUAUAUUUUAGAGGGACCUUCCAAACACUGUAACAUCUCCUCAAUAUGAUGCAACAUCUUUAAUUGUAAUUGUUAAUCACUUUGAGAUGUGCAGAUACCUUAUUUCUUAAAAAAGUCCUCCGCCUUUUGCAGUUGAUAAAGCAUGAAUCCAUAACCUCUGGUUUGGAGAGGGCUAUUUCUACAGGAAAUUGGGAUAUUAAACGGUUUAGGAUGCAUAGGAAAGGUGUGUCACAGGUACCAAUUCUUGAAAACUAAUAUUUGUCCCCCCCUCUAUACUAUUACCUUUUUUUAGGUUCUUCAAACUUCUGCUUUUAUGCAGGUUCUUUCUAGGCUAUCGUACAUGGCAUCAUUAGGCUACAUGACACGGAUAACACCACAGUUUGAGAAGACACGGAAAACAAGUGGGCCACGUGCUUUGCAACCUAGUCAGGUGAGUUAGACAUGGUAGCAGUAUUUCUACAUCAUAUAUAAAAAAUGCUUGCUGAUAUACUGUUUUAUUGGUAACAGUGGGGUAUGCUUUGCCCAUGUGAUACUCCUGAAGGAGAAGCUUGUGGAUUGACGAAAAAUUUGGCUCUAUUGACUCACGUUACAACAGAUCAAGAGGAAGGCCCGCUGAUGAAUCUGGUUUGUUUUUUUUUGUUUGCCUUUCGACUAUAACACUUUGUACCAGUUAAUUUACAUGCAAUAUUUUCAUUUUUUUACGAUAGUGUAAAAGUCUUGGUGUGGAAGAUUUAUCGCUUCUGUCUGGAGAAGAAAUACAUGCACCAGGUUCUUUUUUGGUGAUGUUCAAUGGAUUAAUACUGGGGAAACACAGGCAGCCUCAGGUCUGAUAGAAUUUGAAUUGGUAAAUUGGUGUUUAACUUAUUUGUCUUUCAUUAUUUUCAUCAAGUUGAACAUGUUGUUUUCAGACAUUUGCUAACGCUAUGAGAAACUUGCGUCGAUCAGGCAAAAUUGGAGAGUUUGUAAGCAUUUUUGUAAAUGAGAAACAGGUAUCGUUUCAUCCCUUGAUUGCUAUUAGCAAAAAUAAUUUUAGCAUCAUGCAAUGAUGAUUGUGUCCUUGAUAACUGAUAAUGAAUAAAUGUGUGCCUUGACUCCUAACAACUCUAAACUCAACUCUUUGGUGGUAAUGGAGUUAAUAAAGUUCCAUAGUUAAAGCUUAUUACUGCUAACUUAUACAACCUUGGAAAGAACUGCUAUUGAAAGCUUAAUUUCAAUAAUCGACGGUAAUGAUUUGAAGCCAACGAAUAGUUUAAAUCCUUGAGGCAUAUAAUUGCAAGUCCGCUUGUGGUUACUCUCCAUUUGAAUUCAUGACAGUGAAAGAUAGAGGGCUAAGUUGAACUUUCUAGGAAGGGAAGUUGAAUUUAGAUCUGAAAAUUGAUGUCCUUAUUAUUUCUUUCUCAAACCGGCAGGAGAGCUGCCUGCCAUUAUAUUAAGAAGAAAUAAUUUGUGAACCAAAGUACAUGGAUGGCCACAUGAUGCACCCAUGAGCAAAAAGAAAAAAAGAACACUCCCGAAGGAGCAGAGGGCCCAACCAGUCAUACUGCUUACAGGCGUGUGCCACUACGGUCAUGCAAAUAAUCCUGCAAGAUCCGUAGCAAUGUCCUCGUUAUCAUAAUACUUCUGAGUCCGAUAAUUCUUUGAUAUCAUAAUGGCACAUCUUGCCGAGUUAAUCGUGUCUCCAAAAGGGAAAGGGGAAAAAAACUACUACUAGCUGAUAUUGAGGUGGUUUCCAUGAAUCUUGUAUUUGGUUCUUCCACAAGCUUUGCUCGUUUGAUACCAGGUUCAGAUAGGGUUAUGCUUUGGAUAGCCAGACCUACCACAACCCUCUUUACAUGUGUUGGGAACAAAAUAGGCAGAGUUUGCUUCCAUAAGCUUGCAGUGGCCAUAUUCUCUUGCUCUCGUUAUUUAAGUCUCACGAGUCAGUACUAUGAAUGUACCACAGUAAUUCAAAGGAUAUACCUUGAGUGUGGUUUGCUCUCCAAGUUAAGAAAGUUUAGUUCUGUUUACUGACUAUUUGUGAUCUGCAUCUGUUUUUGUUUUACAAUUUUUCUGAGAUAAUAUAUUUCCUUGCUCUGUUUUUGUUUUACAAGAUAUGAUGAAGGUACUAACCUUGUAACUAUAUUUUCUAGCAUUGCAUUCACAUUGCCUCUGAUGGUGGUCGUGUAUGUCGCCCACUUAUAAUUGCUGAUAAGGGGAUAUCAAGGGUCAAAGAGCAUCAUAUGAAAGAACUGAGGGUUAGCAAUAUGCGUUUCAUAAUAUCUUGACCCAUUUCAUUGGUUUAUUAGCUGUCUCACAAAAAUGAGAAAUUACCUUCUAGGAUGGUGUUCGUUCUUUCGAUGAUUUUCUGCGUGAUGGAUUGAUCGAAUAUCUUGACGUCAAUGAAGAGAACAAUGCAUUGGUAUAUCCUGAUCUGUUUGCCUUUUCUUGUGUGAUUUAUUGGUUUAUUUGUAAUGUAAUGUGUUCUAAUUUGAUUUGAACAGAUUGCAUUGUAUGAGCAUGUGGAUCAAGAUGAUGUUGAAAGAAGCAGCAUCACACACAUUGAAAUAGAGCCAUUGUCUAUCUUAGGAGUUGUAUCCGGACUUAUUCCUUAUCCACACCAUAACCAAUCUCCACGUAAUACUUAUCAGGCAAGGAUACCAAUUAUUGCUGAUAUAUCCUGUUGAUUCUUUGGUUACUUUCUAUUGAUAUUUCUCCUUUUCAGUGUGCGAUGGGUAAGCAAGCGAUGGGAAAUAUUGCAUAUAAUCAGGCAAGGAACCACUUCGUUUCUCUUUUGAUUUGUUAAAUACGUAGGAACCCUAGAUGAUAGUGUGGAAGCAACUAUGACAGGAGGAUAAGGUUUUGGCUAAGCACAAAUUAUUUAAACGUUACUCCAAAAAAGUACAAGUGAUUGUCACUCGCACAACCCUACUCGACCCUUCGAUUUUGCCCUAUACAAGAUCUACUACUACAGAAUUAUCUAAGCCUAAUCCUUGUGAGCACUCCUAAUUGCCCAAUACAAGCCUUGGAUAAGAUAUUUGUGUUGGCUUGAGUUGAUUGGUCAUGCUUGAUGACCACUAUGGCCUCCAACCCCCAGCCCCCUGUUUAUAUAGUUCCCUCCAAUGAACCGUGACAAUACAAUUAGGAUGUGGAAUGCUCGAGAAAAAAGUGUGCCACCCCCAACAAAGCUGUUUGGAGCAGAGUUCUUAGCUAUCUUUUUUCCUCUUCCAAUAGUUGGGAAGUUUGAGAGUUUUUUGGUUAGUGUCCCCCUCGGAGAUGCUUCUGCAAAUACUGUACACAGGUCUGAGAGCCCUGUGUGCUCCUUGUUUAUCCAGGACUAUGCCUAGCCGCUUGUCGUUUACAAAUGGUUGGUGUGUAGUACACAUUUAACGGACUUGAGUCACUGUAAUUUUGUUACUUUCCUGGAGCAAUGCAAUUUUGGCAUGGUCCCUUUCAUGGAAAAAUUGUGACAAUGCAGUUCCUGAAGGUGGUGUUUUGUGCAAUUUACUCUGUAAUUAAUUCCUUUCUGAUGUGUUGGACUUUGUGAUAUUCUGGUUCUAUGUUGAUUUUAGCUUCUUUCCUUUAUGAGGUGAAAGUAAUGUUUCUCUAUAAUGUGCUGCAGUUGUUCAGAGCAGAUUCACUACUCUACUUACUAGUGUAUGCACAACGCCCACUGCUAACAACCAAAACAAUUGAAUUGGUUUGUCUCUGACCCGCAGACUGUCUUAGCUUAAUGUACCAGAUAUUUUACUAGAACUCCUUUUCAGGUGGGAUACGACAAGCUUGGUGCUGGGCAGAAUGCCACUGUUGCUGUCAUGGGUUAUAGUGGAUAUGAUAUUGAAGAUGCAAUUGUAAUGAAUAAAUCAUCGCUUGAUCGAGGUUUCGGUCGUUGCAUAGCAAUGAAAAAGUAAUUCUAUAUACUUCAAUCGACACUUCUCUUUCAUUUACUUGGAGUGCUUGGGAUCAUGUCUGAAAUUCCACUGUACUGGUUUCCAUAGUGACUAUUUUGUUCUCAUCUUGCAGGUACACAGUUAUAAAGGAGUACUAUGGAGAAGGUGUGUCUGAUAGGAUCGCUAAACCACAAAGAGAUAAAGAUGGUGCUUUGGUAAAGCAGAAUAUGCGGGUAAGAAUAGGACUGAUAAUUUAACAUGAAAUGAUUUAUUUUUUUGGGGAGGCGGGGGGGGGGGGGGGGGGGGGGAUUGUGAAACUUCUGUACAUUGUGAAGGUCCAAGUAAUUGCUCUCAACCUUUUUUUAACUAUAUUGAUCAUAAGGUUCAUAGAACAAAAUCCAAUUCAUUGACUUCUGUAGAAGUACAUAAAGGAAGUUGAAUUUAAAGGGAACCUAUUCCUUGGUAGUUAUGUGCUCAAUUUCGUAGAACCUUUGCAUUGUUUUCUUGACUUUUGUUCUGGAAGCCACGUAAAUUUGGCCUUAGCUGUAUUCUCCUAUGAUAUUAUAUGUAUUGUCAUCCUAGAAUAUUCUUGUUCUGCUAUAAACUUGAGUGUAAAUUCAAAUUAGCAUGCAUCUUGAGCUCCAACUUUUAGUACUAUACAUAAUGAAUGAUGAAAGUGUCCAAGGAAUUAACAGACUGCUGGCAACAGCCUUUUCCAUUUUCUUAUUGUGUGUGCAUGUUUGGUGUUUACUCUGUCUCCGUCUCUUUCUAUUGUCCGACAUAACUUAUUUACAGGCACUGGAUGAAGAUGGCAUUGCUGCACCUGGUCAAAUAAUUCGCAAUCAUGAUGUCUAUGUGAACAAGCAAUCUCCCAAAGUUAUAGAUAGAAGAGGUGCUGGUGCACCGUUAAUGGACAGGUGAACAUUCGCCUCUAUUGUGUUUUCUUUCAUUAUUUUGUUCUAUAUUUGUAUCUUCUAUUUUAUAGCUCAGAAGUUCUGAUCAUGUUGAAUGAUGUGUAUGUUAUAUGUGCUUUAUGGUCUUAAAAUUUACCACCUAGGGACUACAAGGACUCACCGGCCAUUUACAAAGGUGUUGAUGGUGAGACUACUGUUGUAGAUCGUGUAAUGCUUUGUUCAGAUACAAAUGAGAAGCUAUCUAUUAAAUGCAUUAUCCGCCAUACAAGGAGGCCAGAGGUAUGGCUAAUUUGCUGCAUUCACUUGGUUUCAACUGUAGAAAGAUGGGUUUAAAUUUGUCUGUCCUGUUUGUGAGCCAGGUUGGUGAUAAAUUUAGUAGCAGACAUGGGCAGAAAGGUGUUUGUGGCACCAUUGUUCAGCAGGAGGACUUCCCCUUCUCUGAGAGGGGAAUAUGCCCUGAUUUAAUUAUGAAUCCACAUGGAUUCCCUAGGUUUGACAUUGGCUUUGUUAUAUUUGUACAUGUUUUAUCUCUUCAUUAUUCGAGAAAAAAAUUGUCUUCAUUCAUUUUCUUAAUCUGGCUAAGUUCCUCCUCCCAUGAACGCUAAUGUGUCUUUGAAUACAAUGUCCGUAUUUUGUGCAACCAUUUAUUUAUGGACAUGUUUUUCCAUGUCUUAGGGGGUAUUUGGAUUGGCUAAAACAGGAGGGCUAAAGUUUAGCCCUUAUAUGUGUUGAUGAGCUAAACAUGGACUAAUCAAGGGCUAAUUAGGUGCAAUAGGCUCUAACCACCAAUUAGCCCUUAUCUGUACAAUUAGAUUAGCAAUUAGCUCAUAUUUAAUCCUUCUAUUUGGCAUCCAAAUAUGAGGGCUAAAGUUCAGCCCAUGGGAUCCAAACACCCCCUUAGUCAGCUCUGUGGUUGAUUGUUUGCUUGAAAAUGGUUUAGAAAUUGAACAUGCGUUAUUUCUUUUUUUUUUGUUCCACUUUGGAUAUUUUAGUAAGUAGUAAGAGUUGUAGAUAUUGACACGAUAUGUUUAGUGGACUGCUGGCAUCUUAAGAUCAUACUCAGUUUGGCAUGCUCUGUACAUUGACUUAAGCUUUGGGUAUGCUCUGAACGUUGCCCUUUAUAUAUUUUAUGAAAUGGAUAAAAUAACUUUGGCACAAUGAAUUUGGUCCUGUAAACUUUAGCUGGAAAUAAAUCUUUGAUUUUAAGUUAAUCUAGCUCACAUUCAAAAAUUUGGUUCUCAAAGACUCCAUGUUUUGUCUAUAUUUCAUACAUUUUAGUAUCUAGUUCAUUCCACCAUCUAUCGUAUCUGUUUUUUACAAUUUGAAACUCUUGAGUCUUGACCUAAAAUAAAGAGAUCGAAUCUGAAUUCAGUAAACUUGUGCCCAGAAAUUUGAAUUUAAAUUUUUGUUAUCUACCUAAAUUGGUCUAUUUUUUUGUGUACAAAUUUUCGUUCCAUCCCAUUUGACUCAUUUUUCUUGUUCUUUUUGUCUCAUCAGUCGUAUGACUAUAGGUAAAAUGAUUGAACUUAUUGGUGGAAAGGCUGGUGUAUCUUGUGGUCGAUUCCAUUAUGGCAGUGCAUUUGGUGAACCAAGUGGUAAUGCUGAUAAAGUGGAAGACAUAAGGUAUACUUCUGUCCUACUAGCAUCUCAAGUUUGUCUAAUUGAUUGUUUUAACACUGUUUUUUCUUUCAUUUUAGCAAUACUCUAAUCAAGCAUGGCUUCAGCUAUAAUGGAAAAGAUUUCUUGUACUCAGGUGUGUUCUAAUAUUAAAUUAUAAAAUUACUUUCUGUAAGCACACUUUGAAAUUUCAUGUUGUGCCCCGUAUUGCUUGGGCUAGUAUGCGGAUUGAAGCUAGACCAAUGUACAAUCACUUAAUGAACAAAAUUACAAAUGCUAAUUGUUACUCCCUGCAAUGUCUUAUAGGAUAUUGAUAGUCUACAAGGGGAAUCUUUCACUAACAAUUUCUAGAAAAUAUGACAUUUCAAAUGAAGAUAAUUAAAUAUUUUGAAAACACUUUUCAUGAUGAAUCUAGUAACAUCUAUUUUAUAUUGCCAAACUAUUUAUUUCUUCAUAUAUUGAUUAUCAAAGUUAAAAAAAAUUGAUCUGCAGAAUUUGAAAUUACCGGGAAUAUUUUGUAAACAUGCACGAUAUAUAAAGCUAUAAAAGAUAUGGGACUUAGAGUCCCAUAUCUUUUCAUCUUCUUAAUAUAAAGAUAAGCAGCGCUUCUGCGUGUUCAAGAAAAAAGAAGAUAUGGGAGGGAGACUUAGCAAACCUAGAUAUGGUGGAACUGGAGCUUCAUAGCUGUUUUCCAUUAUUCUAAUCAUGCUAGUUUCUUUGGUACAACAUUAUAUUUCCUAUUUCUUAAGCACCAAAUGAUUUUUUUUCUAUUUAUGGUGUUCAUCUUUGCUGCUUGGGCCUGCCAUGGAUCCUCAGAGCUGAUUUUUGGCCCCCAUUUUAGGCAUUCUAGGUCAUCCUCUGGAGGCAUACAUCUUCAUGGGACCAAUCUACUAUCAGAAACUGAAGCACAUGGUACGGUUAGUUUAGCUAUAUUGUUCCUUCUUGGUUGACCUGGAUUGAGGCUGUGUUUUCUAAUUCUGCCAUGUGUCACGCUGUACUCUUGUUUAGUGUACACACAAUAGUGUUGUUCUGGGACUUGUCUGGUCUAACUCUUUAAACAUUGGCUAUCAAUAUGUCCUUGAGUAAUAGGGCCUAACAUAUGAAAACGUCAAUUUACAUUCCCACUGAGAGAACUCCCGUAACAAUAUAGUUUACUAGGUUUGCAGAUAAAGUACAAGAGAAAUUGGUGGCCGGAGCUGCAUUUUGGAGACUGUUAACUGGUGAUUUCAAAAACAACAAUUUUUGUGACCUUAGGGAGUAAAUGGGGAAUGAGUUGGUCUUGAUAGAGGUGUCAAAGGCGGAUAUGAAAGGGAGAGCACAACCUUCUUUCGUGUGCAACUGGUUGUAACAAAAUCGUUAUUUAUGGAUAUGUACUAAGCUGGUUUGUAGUUCAGUAGAGAGAAGUGGUUAUAGAUACAGAAAAGGUAGUUUAUAAUUAGCUUAUAAAAAGUAAUGUAGGGGCAGGCUUAGCUUAACUCAUGACCUACCCUAUUGAUGCCAUUUUGCAUGAUGUAAGUAAUUUUAUUAGUUUUUAAGGCAUUAGCACUUUAGCAGUGCCUAAAGAUUGUUGAAAAACUUGAGAUAAGAUUUUUAGAAUUUGAUAUUGCGUUCUUAUUUUUUGUUUUCUGGAUAUCUCAAGCUAUUGGGUGCCUAUUGCAGCAUUUUCGUCUUGUUUUGGAUUCCAGUUGAACUUGUUGAAUCUGUAAACAAUUUUGCUAACUUGAUGAUUCUCCAGGUUCUUGAUAAGAUGCAUGCUCGAGCUAGUGGACCACGAGUGUUGUUAACCAGGCAGCCUACUGAAGGGCGAAGUCGCGAUGGAGGUUUUUCAACACUAUAUACUCUGCAGUUUUAUUAUUAUUAUGUUGGUUCCCUUGUUUAAUAUAUUCCUUUCCUAUAGGUCUGCGUCUUGGUGAAAUGGAACGUGACUGUUUGAUUGCAUAUGGUGCAAGCAUGCUGAUCUUUGAACGUCUACUUCUAUCCAGUGAUCCAUAUCAAGUCCAGGUGAUUUCCAAGUAGUUUCUGAAUUUCUUUUUGGCAGAGACUGGAAUUGUGCAAGGAGCAUAACUGCUCAUGCUGUUGUAUUAGGAUCAGUAAGAUUACGGAACCUUCCUGUUCUUGCUACUCAGUAGAUAAUCAUUGUUCAGUGGGUAAACAGGUCUUAAGGCUGGUAGUAUUUUAUAUAGCUUUUAAUCAUAUACAGUAAAAAAGAGUAAAUGUUAUAUCGGGUGGCUAAGCAUUUAAGCUUCUCUCUUCAGGAAAAUGAACUGAUAAAUCAAGUGUUCUUCUGUUAAUGGUUGAGUAUUUCAAAAGAGUUAACAUAUCCCUUGGCAACAUAGUACAAUAUUUAGUUUAGUUUCAGCGCCAACAUCAAGCACUUAAAUGUCUUUGGGCUUACCUUGUUUAUGGAUUUGAAUGUUGGGGCAGGUUUGCAGAAAAUGUGGCUUGCUGGGGUACUACAACUAUAAACUUAAGACUUCGUACUGUUCAAUGUGCAAGAACGGGGAAAAUAUGGCCAAGAUGAGGCUGCCAUAUGCCUGCAAGCUUUUAUUCCAGGUAGAACCCAACUUUCUCAGGAUCCUAGCGAAGCUUUGUGUUAAUAGUACAGGCUAUAUUAUAAUUGGUCCACAUGCCAUUUACAGUUGAUCUCAUGUGCUCCUCUUAUUUGGUUCCAGGAAUUGCAAUCAAUGAAUGUUGUUCCACGAUUGAAGCUAACCGAAGGAUAGCUUGAGAUUGUGAAUCGAUGAUGGUUUAUGGAGCUGGUUGCCAAGCUGGAUAGUUAAAGGCUUGGUUGAUGUCCAUUUUCUUGGCGGAGUGGAUUGCUGCGGUGUACAAGGAAGGUUUCGCAGCAACAAGGAAGGCUGCACAAUGCAUCCUUGUGCUCUUAUUAUCAAGAGCAUGCAAGGCCCUGGGACUGCUUGUCUGGUUUAUUAACUAUCCAUAUAUAUAAAGUGAGAUGACCGCCUGUUGGAACAAGCGCAUGUAUAUCAUGUCAUGUACUAGUAGUAUCUUAGUUCCAUAUUAAUAAUUGCAAGUAUGCUGAUACUGGAUCUGAAACACAUCAUAGUAGGGAGAUGAUGGCUAGGGAGAUGACCGCCUGCUGGAACAGGAGUUUGCUCUCUGCCUUGAAGGGUGGCUCUAAGCCCUGCUCCUUGAAUUCAUCCUCACAGGUGACAGGCGCAUCGGUGGCGGCGCUCAUGGAUGUCUUGGCAUCGCCGUACCUUCUCUCGUCUAUGGCUGCGAUGGAGGUGUCGAGGUCGUAGAGCGAGUUAUGGUACACUCCAGCGCAUGCCUCCAGGCAGGACCUCCUUGGGGACCAUGGCCUCUCCUUCCUGCUCAGCUCGGCCAUCCUGGUCUCCAUGGUCACCGCACCCGACCUCACCAGCCUGGCUGAAACCAUGGCGAGCCCGUGGAGGUCUUCCUGGCUGCUGCUCUCUGAAAGAGACGAGACGCAGAGGGUGUAGUUCACCUUUGGGUCGCUCUUGCUGCAUCUCUCGCAGGUAUCGGUUACGAUAUCCAACGACUCGCAGGGCAUGGGCAUCAGGAUCAGCAGCAACACCAAGAUGAUACAGCAGGGAUGGUAUGUGAUGUAUGAAGCUGCCAUAUUGAUUGCUGCUGCUGCUCUUGUUACUCUUGUUUAGUGCGCAGACCCACGUCCAUAUAUAGUGGUGGAUGGCUCACGCGCCUGGUGCUUUCUUUUGUCCGAGCCCAGGUGGCUCAAGCGUGUAAGCAAGUCGAUCAUCAGUCGGAUGGCAACUGAAUGCCAAGUUUGCUGUAUUAUAUUGUUGUGAAGAAGAAGAAAAGAAAUUAAUGAAAAAGCCUUUUAUUCCUCCUCCUCCUCCUCCUCCUUUCCCCUCAUCUAUGAGAUGAACUACAACACAUAUUUAAUCAACACACGCACGCACACGGAAAAUAGUAAAAGAAAAAUCCAUCCGAUCAAGGCCAUCUGAAAUCAAAUCAAAACAUGGAAAUACAAACAGCAGAUGCAGAUUUGAAUAUGGUCGGUCGAUCAUGCGGCGGCGUGCGUGAAUCCGAGGGCGAUGUGCGCCAUCCGCCCGUACUCCCUGUCGUGCUCCGCGACGGGGAUGCCUGCAGCGUUCUCCUGGCCCUUCCACGCGUCCUCGCAGCUCUCGGAGGCGCCCAGCGCCGCGGACAGCUGCUCCAUGGCCUUGCCGUAGAUCUGCGCCUUGAGGUUGUCCAGCGCGUCGCGGAGGAGGUCGGCGGCGGCGCCGUACAGCUCCAGGCAGUGGUUGUAGCGGGCGCGCGCGUGCGGCGACUCCUCCAGCUCCGACAGGUCCUCGAUCUUCGACUCCGUGCUGGCGGCGUGGUCCACGGCCAUCCUCGUCGCCAGCACCGCCAGCCCGUGCAUGCUGCCGGCCUCCGCCUCCUUGCUCCGGGGGUCCGCCCCCAGCGACGCCACGCAGUGGUCGUAGGCCACGCCGGCGUGGGUCUCCGACGCACCGCGGCACGCCGCCUCCACGCUCACCGGCUCAGCGCACGACGACGACGACGACUCCUCCUCUGCUGGCACCAACUCCAUCUCCAUCUCCGCCGCCCGCGCCACCGGUGCAAUGCUUACCACCAAGAGGAGGAGGAGCAGGCAGAGCGGCGAUGUGAACCCACUCAUCAUCUCCGCCAUUGCUAUGUAUCCUUUUGCCUUGUCGAUCCUUGUCGCUGCUAAUCAGUAACAACUAAAUGAUGUCUCGAUCUUCUUCUUGUACUAUAUAUACACGUACGUCGCAGAGGAAGGAAGGAAGGAUGGAUGGAUCGGCGGCAGGCAAGGGAGGAGGAAGGGUCGCUAUUUAUCCAAGAAAGACGCUCGGAGGAGAUGGAUCGGAGACCUCUUCUUCUUCUCCCGCCGCCUCAUGGAUCGAUGCCUCUAUUAGCAUGCAGCAGGUAGGCCGAUCGAGAGGCCUCAGCUCCAUCGUUGAAUGCUUCAGCAUGCAUGCACGCAUGCAUCUAUCCAUGGAUCCACCGCCACCACUGCUACUCUGCUAGCCGCCUAAGACGACACUGCUAUUUUAGUACAGUGCAAGGUCGUCUUCUAGAGUAAGAGUGCUUCCUUUUUCCUUUCUUUCUUUGGGUUUCCAUUAACACAUGGCAUCCGUCAGAUGCACUGAUGAAUUGCAUAUCUGUACGUCAUGCAUGAUCAAUCAGCCGAAUUCGAUAAAUGAUCAUCAAAUAAUUAACCACCUUGAGGCCGGACCUUUUCCUUAAUCUAAAAAUAAUUAACCACCAGGUGCCACAGUAGGAAAGAAUAUCACUUUUUCAUGAGUCAUAAUAAUAGAGAUCGAAUUGCAAGGACUAUGGCAUGGAAUAAAGUCCACAGAACUAUAGAUCCUCCCUGCACUAUCUACAAGUCCACCAUUUUUUAAGCAUGUAUGCAGCUGCAGGUACUGUAGAUCGAGCGGCUAGAUGCUAGCAGCCUAGCUAGUGCUCGAUUAAUUGGGAAAACAGCAUAUGCUCAUCGAAUUUCCCUUUUCUUGUCAGGACCCAUCAUAUCAGACCAUGCUCAGAUUAAAGAGAGCUCAUCAGCACCGCUAACAGGUGCCAAGAGAACCAGCAUCCUCUGUAAGUUAUUGCUUUGACAAUUUUGAUCAUUUAAGAACAUACUAAUAAUAAGACCAGAAUGCUAUAUAUAUAUAUAGAAUUUCAUUUGAUAAUAAUAAACCUAAUUAAGGACCAAGAGUCCAAGAAAGAUACUGUAAGUUAUUGCUAUGUUCAAUUUUGAUUUGAAAUCUCCAAAUUUUGGCUUAUUUCUUCAUAUAUAGGAAUGAGCAGUAGUCUGCACAUGGUGUUCUAUGUAUAUCCAUAUACUACUAGGAAAAAUGAGGAGAAAAGCUAUGAAUAUUCUGAGAUACAGUGGUGCAUACUGUAUACACAUAUCUAUAGAUAUCCCUCCCAAUUAUGAUUUCUCUGCUUGUUGCUCCUCCUUGUCGGCCUCUUCUUCAUCCACUUGUUUGUUAUCUGUACAACAUGCCAACGCAUCCUUCUUCUUUCCCCACAGCAAAAGGUAAAGCCCAAAUAUCAUCAGCACCGAACCUAGAAUGCUGUUUUUUGAACCCAAAACACAAAUUAUAUGUCAGUCACAUAUCCAUAUGAAUAAUCGGUACAUACAACUGAGAUAUAAUGAUUAUUGAACAGGAAAAGAGUAUCUUAGUCACCUGCCAAGAUAGAUCUGCUCGUGGAGGAAGAAGAAAUCGAUGAUGGCUACCAUGAUCUGAAUGAUGGGGAUGAAGGCUGCAGUGAAAACUGGACCCCUCUUGUGGACACACCAGGUCAUUAUCAGGAAGCCUGCUGCGGAUGCCACGAUGCCCUAACACCAAAUGCAACCAAGUAUUAUAUACCUGUAGUGUUUCGAAGAGAGGUUGAUUUCUUUGGUGAACAUCCUGCAUAAUCCAUACCAGGUACCAGGUAUAUUUCUCUACAAUAUAUCUAUCCUUGAAAUAUAAUCUGACAGUCGAUCUGGCCAUGCAUGGAAGAUUUGUGCCAGAAAAUUGGAUAAUGCCUAACACAAGCGCGGAUAUGGAGCGAGUGGUGGACAGUUUUGAGCUUAUUGGGUUGCAAUAUCGAGUUUUGUUUUUUUAAAAAAAUGGUCAGUGGAAGUUACUAAGGACAAAAGGUUUCACUAGUGUUUUCUCCUUUUGGGCAAACUGCGCUCAGACUAAAUAUGCUAUCAUUUCUUCGUUGCUGCAAUUGCCGCUUUCCGAAAGCUACUUUGACACGCGUUGCUAGUAUGGACUUUUUCCUUGCAUGGCCAUCGUGUCAUCCAUGAAUAGUUAGGGAUAAUAACUGGAGCCUUUUCAUGCCUAAGCAAGCAGUGUAAACUGUAAAGUUGAGAUGGUAAUGGUAUCUUACUGAAUACAAGAUUGUGAGGAUCUCCAGCCUCCUUGUCACAAUCCACACUGAUGAGUGCCUCUCCAUCGUCACCGUCAGUGCUCCGGCCUGCAGUGUGCUGAUGAAGAACAUGAUGGCGGUGCUGGAGUAGAGCGCCGGGUACUUCUUUGUCAGCCGGCUUUGCAGCAGCAGCCAAAAGGAGAAGAACAGGCAGUUUGCCAGCAAUGAUACAGUUCCCAGCAUCCAGCUCUUCUUGUCAAUACCUACUUGAGAGGAAGCUGCAUGGUGAGAUGAGCUCAGUGCAGCAGCGGUGCUCUGUUGUGUCACGGCAACACCCUUGUAGAGACUUAGUAGAAGCACCCCUCCGAACGACAUGAGCGUCCCGAUGAUCUUUGCAGAUCCUGCUUUGCUCUUCAUGUUGAGUGAUUCCACCCGCAGAGCUAUGGCGAUCAAGAAGGUGAGGACUGGAGCCAAGUUGGCGAAUGUUAUGGCGAACGUCGCAGUCGUGAACUUGAGCCCGUAGAAGAAGGUGUACUGUGAGAGCGCAGCGCUGCACAUCAAGCACACACGUGCCAGGUGAGGUCAAUGUAUGUUUUAUGUGUUGAAAGAAAAAGAAAAAAGCCGAUGUGUGUUCAUGUGUCGUACCCAAGCGCUGCACUGAAGAAGUGGUACACAAAGAUCUCUGCCGUGAGCUUCGGCCUUGUGUUCCUGGAAUGAAAAAGAAGACGAAGCAGAUUACUAGCAGAUAUAGCAUGAUCAGUUAGUUAGUACCUGAAUCAAUGCAUUGCAAUCCACCAUGCAGAAUCUUCAGGUACCGUUCUUUGAAGUAGGCUAUGGGAGCUAGGAAGACGGUUGCCACCAACUGCCGAAGAGUGAUGAGGACCAGGCUGUUGAGCCCUUGUUGGAGCGCCUCCUUCACCAACGCUGUCAUCACAGCAGAGAUGAGGUUGAAGACCAGCAUUGCCAUCACCGGCCUCCACUCAUCCAGGUGUGCCAUUCCCCACAUUGUUGUGACCCUGUCAAUGAAUGUGUACCAAGAUGCUCUAGCUAGGUUCAUAUGCCAAAGAUCUAGUCAGGGACCAUAUAUAGGGCUGCCCUUCCACUAGCCGAUGUCCCGGAAAUGCGACGGCUCUCAUUCAUUACGAGGGGGACAAAAGAAAGGGGCAAGUGCUGCGAGCAUACUACCUUCCUUGCUGCUCUCCAGCUGAAAGUUAACAGUGAAAAUGCAUAUAUUCAUCUGCAAAUCGCAAGAUCAAAUUGCAACACAAAUGUGGAUUAUAAAAUCAUGAUUCAGCCUCAGCACUGACGUUUCCCUUUUUUUAGUGACCCAAAUAAGAUGCCAAUAAAGUGCAGAAAAGCUGGAUGCACUCAGCAUAUAAAAUUCCCAAGAAAGCUCUUUGCACCAUCAGCUGGUAGUGAAUUGUCUGGUCAACUCCGUUUCCUCACCCACACUUUUCUUUUCUUGGAUUCGAAUUAUCUUUGUUUCUGUUUCCUUCACAAACAUUCAGUCCAUCCAUCUACCAGCCAUCAGGUACAAAUUCUAUUCAGCACUACAGCCAGCCAGCAGAAUGCAUGCAUCGCUGUCAACCUUAACCGUGGUAGAUUAUAUUAAACAUAAAUAAAAGGCUUGCAUCCAACAAGAUGGGCGACACAUACACAGAUUGGACGAGGACAAGAAAAUCAGAUGGGCAGGUAAUAGGGUCCAACAUCAAACUCUUUAUCAACCAGGAACGGAGGAGAUAUGCAGGGAACAUGAAUGAACACAAAAAUACUCUCACAAACAAUGUCGAUAGCAUAGAAGCACCCCUCCAAUUACAUAGCAUCCUAAAACAGUACAAACUGAUGAACUUGUGAAGUUUGCAACUGAGUGAUCCAAAACUUGUGAAGUUCGCAACUGACUGAUCCAAUAACACAGCACAAAAAGG
rnacentral:lncRNA from 1 species